AAAGCGGGUGAAAAGCCCGCUCGCCGGAAGACCAAGGGUUCCUGUCCAACGUUAAUCGGGGCAGGGUGAGUCGACCCCUAAGGCGAGGCCGAAAGGCGUAGUCGAUGGGAAACGGGUUAAUAUUCCCGUACUUGGUGUUACUGCGAAGGGGGGACGGAGAAGGCUAUGUUGGCCGGGCGACGGUUGUCCCGGUUUAAGCGUGUAGGCUGGUUUUCCAGGCAAAUCCGGAAAAUCAAGGCUGAGGCGUGAYGACGAGGCACUACGGUGCUGAAGCAACAAAUGCCCUGCUUCCAGGAAAAGCCUCUAAGCAUCAGGUAACAUCAAAUCGUACCCCAAACCGACACAGGUGGUCAGGUAGAGAAUACCAAGGCGCUUGAGAGAACUCGGGUGAAGGAACUAGGCAAAAUGGUGCCGUAACUUCGGGAGAAGGCACGCUGACACGUAGGUGAAGUGAUUUACUCAYGGAGCUGAAGUCAGUCGAAGAUACCAGCUGGCUGCAACUGUUUAUUAAAAACACAGCACUGUGCAAACACGAAAGUGGACGUAUACGGUGUGACGCCUGCCCGGUGCCGGAAGGUUAAUUGAUGGGGUCAGCGCAAGCGAAGCUCCUGAUCGAAGCCCCGGUAAACGGCGGCCGUAACUAUAACGGUCCUAAGGUAGCGAAAUUCCUUGUCGGGUAAGUUCCGACCUGCACGAAUGGCGUAAUGAUGGCCAGGCUGUCUCCACCCGAGACUCAGUGAAAUUGAACUCGCUGUGAAGAUGCAGUGUACCCGCGGCAAGACGGAAAGACCCCGUGAACCUUUACUAUAGCUUGACACUGAACAUUGAGCCUUGAUGUGUAGGAUAGGUGGGAGGCUUUGAAGUGUGGACGCCAGUCUGCAUGGAGCCGACCUUGAAAUACCACCCUUUAAUGUUUGAUGUUCUAACGUGGACCCGUUAYCCGGGUUGCGGACAGUGUCUGGUGGGUAGUUUGACUGGGGCGGUCUCCUCCUAAAGAGUAACGGAGGAGCACGAAGGUUGGCUAAUCCUGGUCGGACAUCAGGAGGUUAGUGCAAUGGCAUAAGCCAGCUUGACUGCGAGCGUGACGGCGCGAGCAGGUGCGAAAGCAGGUCAUAGUGAUCCGGUGGUUCUGAAUGGAAGGGCCAUCGCUCAACGGAUAAAAGGUACUCCGGGGAUAACAGGCUGAUACCGCCCAAGAGUUCAUAUCGACGGCGGUGUUUGGCACCUCGAUGUCGGCUCAUCACAUCCUGGGGCUGAAGUAGGUCCCAAGGGUAUGGCUGUUCGCCAUUUAAAGUGGUACGCGAGCUGGGUUUAGAACGUCGUGAGACAGUUCGGUCCCUAUCUGCCGUGGGCGCUGGAGAACUGAGGGGGGCUGCUCCUAGUACGAGAGGACCGGAGUGGACGCAUCACUGGUGUUCGGGUUGUCAUGCCAAUGGCACUGCCCGGUAGCUAAAUGCGGAAGAGAUAAGUGCUGAAAGCAUCUAAGCACGAAACUUGCCCCGAGAUGAGUUCUCCCUGAGACUU
rnacentral:rRNA from 1 species